rnacentral:rRNA from 1 species
AGUGAACGCUGGCGGCGUGCUUAACACAUGCAAGUCGAACGAGAACGGAAUAUAGCUUGCUAUAUUUGUCAGCUAAGUGGCGCACGGGUGAGUAAUGUAUAGAUAACCUGCCCUUAAGAAAGGAAUAACAGUUGGAAACGACUGCUAAUGCCCUAUAUGCCUUUAAUACAUAAGUAUGCAAGGGAAACGCUUUAGUGCUUAAGGAUGGGUCUGUAUGGUAUCAGCUUGUUGGUGAGGUAAUGGCUCACCAAGGCUAUGACGCCUAACUGGUUUGAGAGGAUGAUCAGUCACACUGGAACUGAGACACGGUCCAGACUCCUACGGGAGGCAGCAGUGGGGAAUAUUGCACAAUGGACGAAAGUCUGAUGCAGCAACGCCGCGUGGAGGAUGACACAUUUCGGUGCGUAAACUCCUUUUAUAUAGGAAAAUAAUGACGGUACUAUAAGAAUAAGCACCGGCUAACUUCGUGCCAGCAGCCGCGGUAA